GAUGAACGCUGGCGGCGUGCCUAAUACAUGCAAGUCGAGCGAACGGACGAGAAGCUUGCUUCUCUGAUGUUAGCGGCGGACGGGUGAGUAACACGUGGAUAACCUACCUAUAAGACUGGGAUAACUUCGGGAAACCGGAGCUAAUACCGGAUAAUAUUUUGAACCGCAUGGUUCAAAAGUGAAAGACGGUCUUGCUGUCACUUAUAGAUGGAUCCGCGCUGCAUUAGCUAGUUGGUAAGGUAACGGCUUACCAAGGCAACGAUGCAUAGCCGACCUGAGAGGGUGAUCGGCCACACUGGAACUGAGACACGGUCCAGACUCCUACGGGAGGCAGCAGUAGGGAAUCUUCCGCAAUGGGCGAAAGCCUGAAGGAGCAACGCCGCGUGAGUGAUGAAGGUCUUCGGAUCGUAAAACUCUGUUAUUAGGGAAGAGCAUAUGUGUAAGUAACUGUGCACAUCUUGACGGUACCUAAUCAGAAAGCCACGGCUAACUACGUG
rnacentral:rRNA from 1 species